rnacentral:lncRNA from 1 species
CAGCAUUCAUCAUUUAAUAAAGCUGCAGAAGCUUGCCUAACUUCAGUGCAGUAACCAAAAUUAAUGAGUUUAUACACUUUCCAUUAAAAGACACUUCGUGUGAAUGUAGAGGGGAAUGCGUGCCGAGUGGAGAUCCACUGCUGUUUUGUGGGAUCUGGGGAGGAAGGAGUCAGCCCCGGUGGGUUCCUGCAGGGCUGCCGUCUGCAAGCUCCAGCCAGGGCGGGACGCACGCAGUGCAGAGCUGGGACGGACGCCCUCAGUGCAGAGCUGGGACGGAUGCCCGCGGUGCAGAGCUGGGACGGACGCCCGCAGUGCAGAGCUGGGACGGAUGCGCAGCUGAAAUUCCGGCACUGCCAUCUCCUCUCUCUCUGACUUGAGCCUGGGGUAAGCGGAUCUUCAGUGAGGUCCCAAAACACCAUCCUCUAUGUUGCCUGUUUGUGAUCCACACAGAAUUCCACAGAAUUGGGCCUGGCCACUUCUGCUCAAUGUGAUUGUUUGAGAGAGGCUUCCGUGCUGCGCAUAACUGCAAUUCGCCCAUCUCCACUGCCGCGGAAGAGCCCGGCGAUGGGAUAGACCGUGAUUCGCCCGUCUCCACUGCCGCGGAAGAGCCCGGUGAUGGGAUAGACUGCAAUACAUUUUCCCAUGAAGCUGUUGAUCGGCUCCUGGGCUGUUUCUGGUUUGGGGGGUGUCAUGAAUGAGGCUGGCAUGAGCACAUGAGUUCUGGCUGAGUGGUAUUUUCAGCAGCUUGGCCAAAAGGUAUGACUUUUCAGGACCUGGCUGAAGGAGGGACUCCAGGGAAAAGGGCUGAUGGGCGGGAAAGCGCUGGCAGAGGGGAUGGCCAAGCCACAGCUGGUAGGCUAUGGUUCCCAGAGCCCCAAUCAACACACCUCAGCUCCCAACUGGGGCUACCUGGAACGACAGGAAAGGCUGACUCCAUGAGCUGUCAUGGCGUGGAAGACCCAGUUGUGCCCAAUGGACGCAAGCUCCCUCCAUUUCUGGCCAUCCCCUGCUGAUUCCCUCCCACCCCCACCUCCAGCCCGACCCCGCCUUCUCCACCAGGUGCCCUCCCGUGAAUUCAGCUCCAUGGACAGCUCCCAGGCUGCUGUCCUCCAUGUGGUGCUGAAAUCACCCCAACAGGGAAGCCAAGGCAUGGAGAAGCUAAGGAAGAAAAUGGAAUUAAAUGGCAUGGGAUGGAGC